UACGUAGGGGGCAAGCGUUGUCCGGAAUCAUUGGGCGUAAAGAGCGUGUAGGCGGCCCGGUAAGUCCGCCGUGAAAGCUUGGGGCUCAACCCCAAGUUUGCGGUGGAUACUGUCGGGCUAGAGGGUGGUAGAGGCGAGUGGAAUUCCCGGUGUAGCGGUGAAAUGCGCAGAUAUCGGGAGGAACACCAGUAGCGAAGGCGGCUCCCUGGGCCAUUCCUGACGCUGAGGCGCGAAAGCGUGGGGAGCGAACAGGAUUAGAUACCCCAGUAGU
rnacentral:rRNA from 1 species